CACGGUACAUGCACCAUUAUAUCAAAGCGGUCGUCAAACAGCAAAAGGUAACUGCUGUAAAUUGUUGAGAAAUUCCCUCGAGUGUUUAUGGGCUCCAUCAUCAAACCUGGUCCUGCGACACAGAUGAUCACACAGCGGGUAAUUGCUAUAAAUCGUUGAAAAGUUCCCUCGAAUAUCUUUCGUCUCCAUCAUUAGACUUUAAUGGCACUUGUAACUCAUACAGGUGCAAAGUUCUCAUCAAUAGAAACGAAUUAAGUUCAAACAGCCGGUAAUUGCUAUAAGUGGUUAAAGAGUACCCUCGACUAUCUUUCGUCUCCAUCAUCAGACUGAAAUGGCACUUAUAACUCAUAUAUAUGCAAAGUUCUCAUCAAUAGAAACGAAUUAAGUUCAAACAGCAGGUAAUUGCUAUAAAUCGUUGAAGAGUUCCCUCGACUAUCUUUCUUCUCCAUCAUCAGAUCAACUCCAGACCUUUAUUAAAUAGUAGUGCUUUAUAGUACUUAAUGAAAACAUGAUUAAAUUUACUAGUCACCCUUACGAUUUUUUAAAGUUUCCCUCGAUUUCUCUGGGAUCCCAUCAUUAGAUCCUGGUUUCCUUAUCAUGGUAUCAAACUAUGAAUAU
rnacentral:misc_RNA from 1 species